AAAUAUUUUCGAUAAACAAUUAUAUUGUUUAUGUUGUCUUCACUGUGAGCUAAAGCUUCAUCAAGUACCCUUCCCAACCCUUUUAAUCUUUCAUCUUGAUGUUGGAAUCUUGUUGGCCUUUGCGGCCUUGUUGAAUUUAACCUCGCUUGUUUAAUUUGGGUUUUCUGACUUUGGUUGAGCCUUGUUGAUUCUUUUCUGCGGAGUUGGAAUAUUGCCCACCCCCAAUCUUUUCAUUAAACUUUUUUUUUUCAAACCCAACUUCUACAUUCGAAUUUUAAAAAGUAUGUGUUAAUAAAAAAACAUUAUGUUAUUUUAUUAUUGUUAAAAUUCAAAGUAAUAGUCUUUUUUUUCAACUACACAUAAAUUAAAAAAUUGUCUGCGUUCACUUGAAUGACAGAUAUUUUAAAUUAUAAUUUGAGUUAAAUUGUACAGAUUUGAUAAAAUGUUCUUGAGGAAUAAUUGUAUGAUUCCCAUGCUCUCAACAUGUUUGAUAAAAUGCCCAAGUAGGAACCAUGCCAUCCCAAUUCCGAGCUGAAGUGUUGAACAACGAGAUGAUGAUGAUACAUCUGCGGCGUCACCUCUACGAUUUCCCGCCCAAAAGCAAUCAAUCAACAAGGUCAAUUUCCUAAGCUGUUGAGUAUGAUUCAAUAAUAUAAAUUUAGAGUUGUGUGUAAUCAUAAAUUCUAUAACUUCUCAGGGGUGUGUUUUGGUCAGGAUCGGAGGUGAGAGGUGUGACAUCCAUCCAGUUUAUAUGGAGGAGUUUGACAAAACUACAAUCAAAUGGAAUCGCUUUACCACUUGUAAUCUGAAUGGAUCCCUCAAUUUUUUUUUUUUUUUUUUUUUGGCAUCAAAGAUGGUUGUAGCAACAAUUUCAAGGCGAAGCCUUAUUGCAUAUGUUGAG
rnacentral:lncRNA from 1 species